UCGCCGCCCGUGACUCGGCGAGAAGUCCAUUGAACCUUAUCAUUUAGAGGAAGGAAAAGUCGUAACNAGGUUUCCGUAGGUGAACCUGCGGAAGGAUCAUUG
rnacentral:rRNA from 1 species